rnacentral:rRNA from 1 species
CGCGCAGGCGGAUUGGUAAGUCAGAUGUGAAAUCUCGGGGCUCAACCCCGAAACUGCGUCUGAAACUAUCAAUCUAGAAUCUCGGAGAGGGAAGGGGAAUUUCACAUGUAGGGGUAAAAUCCGUAGAGAUGUGAAGGAACACCAGAGGCGAAGGCGCCUUCCUGGACGAGUAUUGACGCUGAGGCGCGAAAGCGUGGGGAGCAAACA